UACGGGGGGGGCAAGCGUUGUUCGGAAUUACUGGGCGUAAAGGGCGCGUAGGCGGCCCUCUAAGUCGGACGUGAAAUCCCUCGGCUCAACCGAGGAACUGCGUCCGAUACUGGAGGGCUUGAAUCCGGGAGAGGGAUGUGGAAUUCCAGGUGUAGCGGUGAAAUGCGUAGAUAUCUGGAGGAACACCGGUGGCGAAGGCGGCAUCCUGGACCGGUAUUGACGCUGAGGCGCGAAAGCUAGGGGAGCGAACAGG
rnacentral:rRNA from 1 species